rnacentral:rRNA from 1 species
UACGUAGGUGGCGAGCGUUGUCCGGAUUUACUGGGCGUAAAGAGCGCGCAGGCGGUCGUACAAGUCGCGUGUGAAAGCCCCCGGCUCAACUGGGGAGGGUCACGCGAUACUGUUCGACUCGAAGGCAGGAGAGGGUAGUGGAAUUCCCGGUGUAGUGGUGGAAAAUGCGUAGAUAUCGGGAGGAACACCAGUGGCGAAGGCGACUACCUGGCCUGUUCUUGACGCUGAGGCGCGAAAGCUAGGGUAGCAAACGGG